UACAGAGGUCUCAAGCGUUGUUCGGAUUCAUUGGGCGUAAAGGGUGCGUAGGCGGCGCGGUAAGUCGGAUGUGAAAUCUCGGAGCUUAACUUCGAAACUGCAUUCGAUACUGCCGUGCUUGAGGACUGGAGAGGAGACUGGAAUUUACGGUGUAGCGGUGAAAUGCGUAGAUAUCGUAAGGAAGACCAGUGGUGAAGGCGGGUCUCUGGACAGUUCCUGACACUGAGACACGAAGGCCAGGGGAGCAAACGGG
rnacentral:rRNA from 1 species